UACGGGGGGAGCAAGCGUUGUUCGGAUUUACUGGGCGUAAAGGGCGCGGUAGGCGGUCGUGACAAGUCACUUGUGAAAUCUCCGGGCUUAACUCGGAACGGUCAAGUGAUACUGUCGGACUAGAGUACAGAAGGGGCAACUGGAAUUCUCGGUGUAGCGGUGAAAUGCGCAGAUAUCGGGAAGAACACCCGUGGCGAAGGCGGUUCUCUGGGACGGUACUGGACGCUGAGACGCGAAAGCGUGGGGAGCGAA
rnacentral:rRNA from 1 species